GGCCGGCCGGGCUGAGGGGGGGCGAGCGGGGGGUCCCGGGCGAGGGGGCAGCUGCCAGAGACGCCCCCGGGGGAACCGCCGCCGCCUGCGAGGGCGGGUUACGCGGCAGCUACAAGCAACGCUCCGAAAAGUGAAAUCCCUGCGCGCUGCCUGGAAACUGUGGAAACGCUCCAGCCUAGGGCCCAGCAUGACCGUGGAGCCCGAAAGGGGGAUAAAACAGGCAGAGGGUUAAAAAAUACCACCACGGCCCAGGCCGUGGAAGGCAAAAAAGGCGUCCUUACACAAUUGGAAGCCAAACCCUCCCGAGGAAUCUAGGAAGGAGGGUGAACUCGGCCAACCGAGGGUAAACGUCUACUUGGGCAGGCCAAGAAAGGAAGGAGAGCGACUGGCAAAAGUCGCCGAGACGAACACCAAUUUUUUGAAGUACAGCAGCAUCCGGAAGGCUGCCCGACCGUCCGUGGGCCCGCUGGAGGAGGGAGGUGCUGACCAAGCUCACCCUGAAGCCAAGGCUAUUGCAGGGUAGCUGAAUGAAUCCUUUGCAUCAACCUUCCCGGCAGAGGAGGUGGGGGACUUUCCUACACCGAAGCCCUUCGUUGGAGCUGGCAAAUCUGAGGAAAACUCCCCGAGUGCGGUGCUGAUAGAGGAGGUUUUGGAACAAAAUUGAUAAUUUAAACAUUAUUAAGUCACCAGGACUAGAUGGUAUUGACCUAAUAAUACUGAAGCGACUCGUCUAUGACAAGUGCCUAUGAGGCAGGGAAGUUUCCUACAAUGGGGGAAGGAACAAAGCUGCUCUGCCAUGGAAUUUUUGGCACAGGAUUUGCCGGUUACCUCCGGGAAACUUUCCUGGAGACCUCUCUGGAGGAUUCCCGUGAGAUCUCGGUGCGCAUCAACACCUGUUCCACCGUAUUGUCUCCAAGGGCCUGAGGACCUUCCAGUGACUUGGAAGCAACCAGAGACUUGACUUAAGCCAUCAGUUUAUUCCAUCCCAGUUACAAGCCUAAUCCAAGGACUUUGCAAUUAUUUAUGUAUUUGAUUCUUUUAACCACUUUUAACUUUCACCUCUUUCUUUCUUUUUAUAAAUAAACCUGUAGAUUUGAGACACUAAAGCAUUGGCAACAGCAUGAUUAUUGGGUUAAAUCUGAGUUAUAUAAUUGACCUGGGGCUGUGGCUUGUCCUUUUGGAUCCGAAAAAGCCUUUGCUUGAUGAAAUUGGUUUAAUUAAAACUCAUCAUUAAGUUUAGUGUUUUUGGUGCUACAAGGACUGGAAUACCUAAGGAAAUGGCUUUUUUGACUUCUUGUUAGCCAGUGUGGCAAAACAGAAGUUGACUUUUGUUGCGGGUCUGGUAUAUCUUAUGGGGGAAUAACCACCAGUUUUGGGGUGUGUCUGUCCUAUUUCUGUUUCUGCAGUUGGUUCUGAAUUUGGUAUCCUCACUUGUGAUUGAGGCACAGUGACAGGCGGCUUUGCGUGCUGCGCUUCCCUGCACGCACCGUCCCCGCAACUCCCAUUGGCCACAGUUUCCGGCCAAUGGGAGCUGCGGAGUGGGCGCCCUGGACAGGAGCAGUGUGCAAAGACCCUCUGGCUAUCCCUGCACCUAGGAGGCAGAGGAGAUUGAGGCCAAUUCUGGGAGACUUCCAGCCACUAUGGCAAGGGUUAACAACCCUAUUUGUUACCCAGGCCCGAGAGGUCGUUACUCCUGAAGAUACCACCUAGCUGAUCCUAACAGAGAGAAGUGCUGUCUCUAGCAAUGCAGAUGUGGAGGAAAUAGAAGCAUUUUUGUUGUUGUUGUUGAAUACACCGUUUGUAAUGCUUCCCAUGUGUAUAAAAUGAAAUGAGUGUUUAAAUGUGGGACAGAUGCAGAAAGUUUAUGCUUUUUGAAUAAACCCCCACAUCUUGUACCGUAUAGUGAUUCUCAUCCAGACGUAUAUUUAGUUUCUAAUUUAGACCUGUUCCAUCAGAUUAAAGAAAUAAACGGGGCAUGUUUGGGCAGGCCAUUUCUCACCGGCACUUCUGAGAUUUUGGAUGGUUUGGUAAAGGAUUCUUCUCCAGAGAAAUGUCAAUUUGCCCCCAUCAAGACCAAGGAUUUGGCAAGAACACACGUAAAAACAGCAGGCGCCCAGUAGUUGGUUUUCACCGCAGAGAUGAAAGCUAUGGUGAGCUAUGAUCCAAGUAAAACUGCGUUUAGUUCAUAGAAUACCAGGGUUGGAAGGGACCUCAGGAGGUCAUCUAGUCCAACCGCCUGCUCAAAGUAGGACUAAUCCCCAAUAUUUGCCCCAGAUCCCUAAAUGGCCCCCUCAAGGAUUGAACUCACAACCCUGGGUUUAGCAGGCCAAUGCUCAAACCACUGAACUAGUUCAGUGGCAUUGAUUAGAGUCCCAAAGAUGCCAUGGUUAGAUUGAGAACAAUUGUCCUUUACCGUUUGAAUCCAAAGUUUCACAAGGCAAAGUGAAGGCAUCAACUCUUUUUUUUCAAGACAUUCCUUCCUCGUGGAUCCCAAUGUGUCUGUGUUGUUGGACAAUAAGGACUCUCCUUCUGUGUAAGUGAUGGUAACCCAUUAGGGAAUGAGUGUGUCAAGCUCCAAGGUCAGACUGCAGGAUAUAUGAAUGUUGAGUCCUGAUUUUAUGCUUUAGUCUCUUAGUUUUGGUCUUGUGUUUUAUGUCUUUGCAUCACAUCUCCAGCUCCAGCUACUUGGAAAAAUUAAAAGUGUGAAAAUAGAAUAGAAUUGUGUUUUUCUCAUGUUGCAAGCCUUCCCCCAUAGUGUGAGACUCCUUCCACCCACACUUAUGGCAGAAAAGCCAGGGAUAAAUUAACUUCCAGAAAUGGAAGGCACCUAUAUGGGUGUAAACCACAAGCUUACAAAAGGGUUCACUUGGUAGAAAUUGGUAUUAAAUGGAACUAAAGGAAAGUAACAUAUGUUAUAAGAUUGUGUAAUCUUUGAUCAUAUUUAAUUUCAUUGUCCCUGAUAACAAUAACAUAAAGUUCAUUAUUUGUUAACGAACAAGAGACUAAUUAUGUGAUAACUUCCAUCUUUCCAGUAUAUUUCUGAUUAUAUUUCUCUUUUCAUUAGUACUUUAGGAAACAGUAGCUAAUCCUUAAAAGCUUAUUUGAGGUAUUUUACCCCUUAUUACUAAGGAAUUUUGAAAUAAAACCGUACUCCAAAGGUUGCGUUGAUGGAAUAUGGGAGAGUAAUUGUGUAUGGGAAUACGGAUCAGUAUAGACUUUAAUUAUUUCCAUUUCAAAUGGAGUUUAUUCUGACAAGCUUUCUUAUUCUGUUAAGAGGACAACUCAAGGAGAGAGUUCUGCAACCUUUUACCCAGUUAGAGUGUACAGAUUACCGAGUUCCCCUUGUUCUUGUUAGCAAAGGAAAGACAUGACUUCUAUGAUGAGAUGUCCAUAUAUAUGUAUAAGAAAGAUGAUAAACGCAUAAGGCCAUUACUAGUUUUUUUGUUUUGUUAUUUUUGUUAAAAACAUCUGCAGCCAGUUAUUUUUAUGGGUAGUCAGACCCCUUUCCUUUUGAAAAGGUCAGAUAUUAAAGCAUAGCCAUUGAACUGUUAGGCCAGGCUGUGGAGAUGUCCUCAAAACUGGCCUUAGUUUUCUUUCAUUUUUAUCUUUGGGGUUCACACAUCUACACUGAAUGUGGUUUUCAUGAACAGAUAUUUUAAGAAAACUGCUGGAUUAGGGAAGAAUUUUCCAAAAUGAUGUUAAUCCAAAAUUUGCCUCAUUCCAACUGCAUUGGCUCAUGUUGUCAGUAUCCUGGCAUACUUCACCCUGAUUUGCCCAGAGAUCUCAGGGGACGCACCAUAAAGUGGAGUAAACUGGAAUUGUCAACCACAAAGACCACGAUACAGGCUGAACUCUUUUUCACCUUUCCAAUCAACAAGUUCUCUAAGAAAGAUUGAUCCCCUCUGGGGAAGGAAGUCAUGUCAUCAGUGACAGGCUCUAGCAGCCUUUUCCAUCUCCCUGUACUUGAGAAAACCCAGCAGUGGGGAGUGCUGGGCCAGCUGCCCAAUCACUUGGUUUCUUGACUACAGCUGCUGCUCCUACUGUACGCGAGUCCGAACACUAUGAGAGCUGGAGAGUUCCAACCCCUCGUCAUUUCAGCGUUCCUUGUUCCAUUUUCUAUCUUUUGUUUUAUGGACUGGUAGAUGUCCUGGCUUUCCUAUCAUAGUAGGGUGUGACUGUGGCUCAGUGUGUGCACCAGUGUUGUUCACCUGUGGAAUGCACACAGGGAACGCACCAGAUAGAAUACUUCUCCAAAUCUAAAUAUCCCUUAAACUCUGCCCUCUGAAAUGCUUGAAUGUGUCCUCCCCAUUCUGUGAAGUCUGAAGAAACUAAACUGUUAACUGUAAAUUAUUCAGUGACAAGCUGUUAAAUUUCUGCUUAUUAAAGCCCCAGUGAGGUC